rnacentral:misc_RNA from 1 species
GAUGAAGAACGUAGCGAAAUGCGAUACGUAAUGUGAAUUGCAGAAUUCAGUGAAUCAUCGAAUCUUUGAACGCACCUUGCGCCCCUUGGCAUUCCGAGGGGCACACCCGUUUGAGUGUCGUGAACAUCCUCAACCUCCUUGGUUUUUAUCGAACCAAGUAGGAUUGGAAUUUGGAGGUUUUCUGCUGGCCUCCUCUGAAGCCAGCUCCUCUUAAAUGUAUCAGUGGGAUCCGCUUUGCUUAGAUCCUCGACGUUGAUAAGAUGUUUCUACGUCUUGGGUUUUUCUCGCAAAGGACCUGCUUCUAACCGUCCCCAUCGGGGACAACCUUUGAGCCGAUCACCCUUCACGGGGUGGGAAGCUUUUUGGCCCACGAAACCUUGACCUCAAAUCGGGUGAGACUACCCGCUGAACUUAAGCAUAUCAAUAAGCGGGA